CAGAAGAUUGUGUUCAAUGAUGAUUCCCAUCAUGACUUGGUCCUCUCUGCUCUUAGCCCUACUUAUCCAAUGUGCAGGAUCCUGGGCCCAGUCUGUGCUGACUCAGCCAUCCUCGGUGUCUGGAAACCUGGGGCAGAGGAUCACCAUCUCCUGCACUGGAAACAGCAGCAACAUAGGGCAUAGUACUCAUGGAAAUUAUGUGUCUUGGUACCAACAACUCCCAGGAAUGGUCCCCCAAACCCUCAUAUACCAAACAACCAAGCGAUAUUCUGGGGUCCCUGAUCGCUUCUCUGGCUCCAGGUCUGGCAGCACAGCCUCCCUGACCAUCACAGGGCUCCAGUCUGAAGAUGAGGUUGACUAUUUUUGCUUUGUUUGGGAUGCUAGUCUAAGUGCUAACACAGUGCUCCAGGCCAGUAGGGAAGUGAGACAAAAACUAUUUUAA